AAAUCCCCAUAAAGGACCCCAAAGUGACCACAAAAGCCCCCAAAAUGACCCCAAAUGCCCCCAAAGUGACCCCAAAAGCCCCCAAAAUGAUCCCAAAAUCGCCUCACUGACCCCAAAUAACCCCAAAAUCCCCAUAAAGGACCCCAAAGUGACCCCAAAUGCCCCCAAAGUGACCCUAAAAUCCCAUAAAUGCCCCCAAAUGCCCCCAAAUGAUCCCCAAGUGACCCCAAAUGACCCCAAAAUCCCCAUAAAUGACCCCAAAAUCCCCCAAAUGAACCCAAAAUCCCCCAAAAUGACCCCAAAAGCCCCCAAAAUGACCCCAAAAUCGCCCCACUGACCCCAAAUAACCCCAAAAUCCCCAUAAAUGACCCCAAAGUGACCCCAAAUGCCCCAAAAUGACCCCAAAAUCCCCAUAAAAAACCCCAAAGUGACCCCAAAUGCCCCAAAAUGACCCCAAAAUCCCCAUAAAGGACCCCAAAGUGACCCCAAAAGCCCCCAAAAUUACCCCAAAAUCCCCAUAAAGGACCCCAAAGGACCCCAAAUGAUCCCCAAGUGACCCCAAAUGACCCCAAAAUCCCCAUAAACGACCCCAAAUGCCCCCAAAGUGCCCCCAAAAGCCCCCAAAAUGACCCCAAAAUCGCCCCACUGACCCCAAAAAGCCCCCAAAAUGACCCCAAAGUGACCCCAAAUGCCCCCAAAAUGACCCCAAAAUCUCCCCAGUGACCCCAAAUAACCCCAAAAUCCCCAUAAAGGACCCCAAAGUGACCCCAAAUGCCCCCAAAAUGACCCCAAAAUCGCCCCACUGACCCCAAAAAGCCCCCAAAAUGACCCCAAAAUCCCCAGAAUUGACCCCAAAUAACACCAAAAUCCCCAUAAAGGACCCCCCAAAUGACCCCAAAUGCCCCCAAAGUGACCCUAAAAUCCCCAUAAAGGAGCCCAAAGUGACCCCAAAUGCCCCAAAAUGACCCCAAAAUCCCCAUAAAGGACCCCAGAAGAUCCCAAAGUGACCCCAAAAGCCCCAGAAAUGCCCUCAAAGUGACCCCAAAUGACCCCAAAAGCCCCCAAAAUGACCCCAAAAUCGCCCCACUGACCCCAAAUAACCCCAAAAUCCCCAUAAAGGACCCCAAAGUGACCCCAAAUGCCCCAAAAUGACCCCAAAAUCCCCAUAAAGGAUCCCAAAGUGUCCCCAAAUGCCCCCAAAUGACCCCAAAACCCCCAUAAAGGACCCCAAAUGCACCCAAAGUGACCCCAAAAGACCCCAACAUCCCCAUAAAUGCCCCCCAAACCCCCCAAAUGACCCCAAAAUCCCCAGAAUUGACCCCAAAUGAUCCCGAAG
ensembl:lncRNA